ACUUUCAUUUGCUUGUCAAUUUCAGUUGCAAGAAUUUCGCUCUCAGAUGAAUUGAGAGAGUGAGUGAGGGGAAAAGCAUAGAGAGAGAAAGAGGCGACAGUGAGAAAGGGCGAGGGAUGAAAGACGAAGCCGUCAGCUCCUCGCGCGACCCGUUAUUGCCCCCAAGAUCUUCGUCUCCUCCUCCGAGCCUCACUCCCGCUGCCAGUUCUGUUGGGGCAUCAUCUCCUGCUGUUCCCACUAAUGCUGGAAGCUCAGAUGGUCUUGGUCAAGUGCAGAAUUCAAGAGGAGGGUCUCUUUCGCGGAUUGGUUCCCAGCCCAUACACGCAUCAUUGAGCACCAGUGCUGGUGGUUCAGCACUGGGAUCAUCACAGCCUUCUUGCAGGCCCUGGGAAAGGGGUGACUUGUUAAGGCGUCUCUCAACAUUCAAACCAGAAAAUUGGUUUGGAAAGCCCAAGGCUGCAAGUUCCCUGGCAUGUGCCAGAAAAGGCUGGGUGAAUGUGGAUGUUGAUAAAGUUGAAUGUGAAUCCUGUGGUGCAAUUCUGAAGUUUGUUUCAUCAGCUACCUGGACUCCUUCUGAAGCUGAUGGUGCUGGGGAAGAGUUUUCCAAGAAACUUGAUGAAGAGCAUAAGGUUAUCUGCCCAUGGACAGGAAACUGCUGUGCAGAAAGUCUGGUGCAAUUCCCGCCGACUCCACCAUCAGCACUUAUUGGUGGUUACAAGGAUAGGUGUGAUGGACUACUCCAGUUUCCCUCCCUUCCUGCCGUGGCUGCAUCUGCAAUUGAGCAAAUGCGGAUUUCUCGAGGCUCAGAAAUUGAUCGUUUGCUGGCCCAGUCUCAGCUUACACGCAAUGAAUCUGGCAUCAAGCUAGAAUUUUUUUUAGGAACUGAGUGCUCCAGAGAUGAUGUCUUCUUCAUAUACUCUCGUUCUCAGAAGCUCAUAAGCCUUUGUGGAUGGGAACCUAGGUGGCUCCCAAAUAUUCAGGACUGUGAAGAGCAUUCUGCACAAUCAGCUAGAAACGGCUGCUCAAUUGGUCCUUCAAAAUAUCGUGCUCCUCCGCGUGAUCCUAGCCGAGGAAAGAAAGCCUUGUCCUCUUCAGCAAAAAGGGAUUAUGGUGGAUAUGAAGUUACUGGAAAUAAUUCAAAAGGUAUAUCCAGGUCACCGUUGCUAGACUGCAGCUUAUGUGGUGCGACAGUGAGACUGUGGGACUUUUUAACUGUACAGCGUCCCUCUAGUUUUGUUCAAAGUAGCACUGAAGGUCCUGAAACUAGCAAGAAGAUGUUGACACGUGGAAUAAGUGCAGCAAGUGGCAUCAGUGGGUGGGUUGCUGCAGAUGGUGCGGAGAAGGAGCAGGCAGAGGACCUUGAUGAAGCUGGAACUGGAGAAGGAAAGUCACUUUCAAAUGUUGGGGUGGAGUUGAAUCUUACAAUGUCUGCUGGAUUAUCGUCAUCGCGGUUGAACAUGAAUGCUGCAUCUGAACAGUAUCAAUAUGGGCUUAGAGGUAGAGAUUUAUUGAUUGGGCAGCCUUCCAGCAGUGAGGUUGGUGAUCGCGCAGCUUCAUUUGAAUCACGCGGCCCUAGUUCACAUAAGAGGAACUUAGAUGAAGGUGGAAGUACAGGUGACAGGCCACACUUUCUGCUCCAACAAGCAGACAGUGGAGAGGGUACUGUCAUUGAUCGCGAUGGUGAUGAAGUUGAUGAUGGUGGACAGUACUCUGCUGGUCCUUCAAAGCGUGCCCGUGAGUCUUGGGUUGUAGAACCCCGUCGGUCACCGUAUAGAAAAGAUUCUUUUGGUGCUGGUCCCAGCCUGUCAUUCGGGUUCGACAUAGGAAUCGAUGCUUAUAAAGGGGAAUACGACCAGGGUACUGAACAAUUCAUUGGUAAUCCACCAACUAGAGAUUCAACACGGGCAUCCUCUGUCGUUGCAAUGGACACUAUGUGCCACACUGCAGAUAAUGAUUCAAUGGAAAGUGUUGAGAACUAUCCUGGCGAUUUUGAUGACAUACAUUUGCCGUCUACAUCAGGAAUAAAAAACAACGAUCAUGCUGAGACAUCAGAGUUGAAUUACAGCAAUCAAGCACAGCAGAGUACUUGUCCUGCUGCUGUGAGAAGUACUGGUGAAAUUGGAGUCAGCAGUGCAAAUGAAGAAGUUGUAAACACAGAUACUGCAACUGCACAUGGGAGGGAUGGUCCCAGCUUGGGGAUUAGUGGAGGAAGUGUUGGCAUGGGUGCUAGCCAUGAAGCUGAAAUUCAUGGGAUUGAUGCUUCUAUCUACCGAACUGAGAGUGUUGUUGGUGAUGUAGAGCCUAUUACUGAACUAACUGAUAACCAAGGCCAAACAAGCGAAUUUGCACCAGAUCCAGUGUUGAUGGGCAAUUUUGUCCCUGAAGAAGUGGAUAGAGAGGACCCUCACGGAGAUAGUCAAGAUCUGAUGUUUCGGUCGGUAGUUAGGGCAGAUAGUGGUUCAAAAGUUAUGGGUUCAACUAAAGCAGAAUCUGUUGAAAGUGGAGAAAAGACAAGUAAUAUGCCAGCCACCUCUUGUGAGAACAGUCUCCAUCCUUCACUUUCUUGCAAUGCCAUUUUAUAUUCUGGCGUAGAGCUAUCUAAGGAAGAAGUCACGCAAGCCACCAAGGAUCCAACAACCGAUGACUGUGGUUUUGUGGAAUCAGGCUAUCAAGUUGCAAAUGGAUCAGGUAAAGAGUUGCACUUUGGGCCUCCCAAUGGUGGAAGCAACUAUGAUGAAGCUGUGGAAUUUGAUCCAAUAAAGUAUCACAAUUACUACUGUCCUUGGGUGAAUGGAAAUGUUGCUGCAGCUGGCUCUAGUAGCAGCGGUGGCUCUGGCUCCAGUCACAGUGCUCUUGCGCUUUGUGGUUGGCAGCUGACGUUAGAUGCUUUGGAUGCAUUCCAAUUACAAGGCCAGGUUCCACCAGUGCAACCAGUUGAAUCUGAAUCUGCUGCUUCGAUGUAUAAGGUUAACAUAGAUAGCCAGGUUCCAAAUGCUUUACACUGAAUCUUGAUUUUGUUUAAAUUUCCCUGUUUUGUAUUUUUCCUAAUAAUACAACCUAUGUGAAAUUUGGUAAAUAUAACAAAAAUUGUUUUUCUUUAUAAGAUCUAAUUAUUUUGUCAUCCUUUAUGUUCAUAACCUUUUUUCUUAACAAUUUUUUUGAUACUCGAUCUGAUGCAAUUUUGGUGUACUUCCUUUUACCAUCUUAAGGAAUUGGACUUUUGAAAUAUUUUAUCAUCUAAGAACUUCUCUAUUUGUUCAAAUUCUUUAUUAUUUCGAAAUGAGGGUAUCCGUUUUGUUCUGUAAGAAAUGGAAUUUUAUUAGAACAAUGAACUGGUAUCAAAUGGGAUGAGAAAUAUCCAAUCUCUAGCAGCAUCUAACAUAAGAAAGGCCUAAAUACCUGGUUUGAGGCCCACCAAGCAACUCCAAAUUCGGACAAAGAUGAUCAUCACACACCCAAUCAGAAGCUCUUGGCAAAGCACUCUUUCAGUAAGAGCAGUGGGAUGAACUAAUGGGCUAUUCUUGACGAUGUGCCAUCAGUUAUUAUUGCCUCAUGGUACUCUGAUUGAACCGAGAGCCUAAAAGCACCCAUCCAAACACAACGUGUUGAUGUUAUUAGUUGUUUUCACCUCAAAUGGAGUAAAGUAAUGGAAAAACUAAUGUUCCGUUACCUGUGUUUAUUCAAGAUGCAAGAGAACCUCUAUCUUGAGUAUCUUCUCCCUUUUAGUUUUGGACCUCAGUUUCAGUAAAGCCUCGUGUUUAGUCAAUAAUAGUUGUGUGGGGGAUUAUUGUAUUCUACUGUUUCAGAAUGUUGCUGCUGCUGCUGUUUUGGAGAUUGCUUUUCAUAACGUUUCUAUUUAUAUUCGAACACUCUGUAUACGUAUAUUUUACCCAAGUCGACCUCCAAGUUCAAAAUCAUAAGCUUUGGGGAUGUGUUUAAA